rnacentral:rRNA from 1 species
ACGAACGCUGGCGGCGUGCUUAACACGUGCAAGUCGAACGGAAAGGCCCCGCUUUUGUGGGGUGCUCGAGUGGCGAACGGGUGAGUAACACGUGAGUAACCUGCCCUUGACUUUGGGAUAACUUCAGGAAACUGGGGCUAAUACCGGAUAGGAGCUCCUGCUGCAUGGUGGGGGUUGGAAAGUUUCGGCGGUUGGGGAUGGACUCGCGGCUUAUCAGCUUGUUGGUGGGGUAGUGGCUUACCAAGGCUUUGACGGGUAGCCGGCCUGAGAGGGUGACCGGCCACAUUGGGACUGAGAUACGGCCCAGACUCCUACGGGAGGCAGCAGUGGGGAAUAUUGCACAAUGGGCGGAAGCCUGAUGCAGCAACGCCGCGUGCGGGAUGACGGCCUUCGGGUUGUAAACCGCUUUCGCCUGUGACGAAGCGUGAGUGACGGUAAUGGGUAAAGAAGCACCGGCUAACUACGUG